rnacentral:rRNA from 1 species
CACGUAGGAGGCGAGCGUUGUCCGGAAUCAUUGGGCGUAAAGAGCGCGCAGGCGGCUUGGCAAGUCGGGUGUGAAAUCCCGGGGCUCAACCCCGGGACUGCAUCCGAUACUGUCAGGCUAGAGGUAGGUAGGGGAGAUCGGAAUUCCUGGUGUAGCGGUGAAAUGCGCAGAUAUCAGGAGGAACACCGGUGGCGAAGGCGGAUCUCUGGGCCUUACCUGACGCUCAGGCGCGAAAGCUAGGGGAGCGAACGGG